rnacentral:rRNA from 4 species
UAAACGACUCUCGGCAACGGAUAUCUCGCGUCUCGCAUCGAUGAAGAACGUAGCGAAAUGCGAUACUUGGUGUGAAUUGCAGAAUCCCGUGAACCAUCGAGUCUUUGAACGCAAGUUGCGCCCAAAGCCAUUAGGCCGAGGGCACGUCUGCCUGGGCGUCACGUA